AAGGAGACAGAAGCAGGGAUGUCUUGCGACCUGGGUCUUUGUUGUAUAUCUAGGCUUUUGGAGAAUGAGUGUUUUUCAACGAAGUGCUAAAUUUCUCCUAGCUGAUUCCAAGAGGAAACCUUCAGGCACAUAUGUGAGUCUCCCCCCACUGGAACUCUUAAGUGGCUGCUGUUAUGGAAGGUACAUUCUCCUUCACGUUAGAGGACUGAGCUGUGCCUGCCCUGUGCUUCUGGUGUUUUGCUGAUUGGAGAGAUGAAUAUAUGUUGUACUGUCUACCUGCCAGCAAUAUGCAACUUCAGUGUUGAAUACUUUCCUUUUGAAGAUGUAUAAUUCUUGAUUCAUCAUCCUUUUUUCUAGCUUCCAUCUUUCCCAGGUUCCAGAGAAGUGUUUCAGUGUAAGAAAUAUUAUUUAACAGUUUUUGCAAAGCAAGGAAACAGACAAAAUUUGUGUUCAAUAUAUCCACUAUGAAUUUAUAUAAAUAUGUGUGUCUACCUACAAAUUAACCAUCUUGAAUUAAACAUAUAUUCUCAAUGUUUUGAAAAAAUAGAUUGUUAUAUUUAUUAGUUCAUCUUGGCCUAUAAAUUUAUUUCAAAAUACUAAGCACUCUGGAAAACAAAUAGUGGUUUCCCUUUUAAAAAUUCCCAAAGUUCCAAGUGUUUUGAAUUCAUUGAACUCUCGACAAUCACCAUCUGGUUGAUUAAGUAAUUUACAUUUGAACAACCUCACAAAGAGACUGGGGGUGGGGGAAUUCCCCUUGAAUUCUGGGAAGUUGUUCUUCGGACAUGAUGUUUACUUCCUUUGAUGUCACAAUUUCUCUUGAUAAAUGUAAACAUUUAUUUUUAACAUGGUUGUUAAAACGUAGUCAAUAUUCAGUUUCAAUUCUUUUGUCAGUUACUGGUGAAACAGAAAGGUCAGUUUAUGGGUCAUUAUACUCACAGAUUGAAUGUUGAGUUAGUAAAACGUAAAUGUGAUAUUAUUUUAAUAUUUUUAAUGUGUUUGGAAACAGAGGAGUUUUUGAAAAACUAAAACUGAAAAGCUAUCUAACCUAAUAUAGAGUAUAAGUAAAAUAAAAUUCAUGUCAAUAAAGUUUACCUAUCAUUUAUACUUUUUGGAACUGGUACAUUUUUAUUAAGUGUGUCUAGUACUUUUGUUGAAAC
rnacentral:lncRNA from 1 species